GGUCACGCCUGCCAGUGACUAACCACUUACUUAAACGGCCGCGGUAUCCUAACCGUGCAAAGGUAGCGUAAUCACUUGUCCCCUAAAUAGGGACUAGUAUGAACGGCUAAAUGAGGGCCCAACUGUCUCCUUUGAUUAAUCAGUGAAAUUGAUCAACCAGUACAAAAGCUGGUAUAAACACAUAAGACGAGAAGACCCCGUGGAGCUUAAAAUACUUAUGCCAAACCGACAUCUACCGAUAAAAAUGCCAUAACAUUUUCAGUUGGGGCGACUACGGAAAUAAACCAAACUUCCAAGCCAAGGGCCUAUCCCCACCCCCCCCCCAGACAAACAUGUCAUCACCACAUGACCCAGAACUACUCUGAGUGACGAACCAAGUUACCCCGGGGAUAACAGCGCCAUCUUCUUCAAGAGUCCCCAUCGACAAGAAGGUUUACGACCUCGAUGUUGGAUCAGGACACCCAAAUGGUGCAGCCGCUAUUAAAGGUUCGUUUGUUCAACGAUUAAAGUCCUACGUGAUC
rnacentral:rRNA from 2 species